GACGUAGGGCGCGAGCGUUGUCCGGAUUUAUUGGGCGUAAAGAGCUCGUAGGCGGCUUGUCGCGUCGACUGUGAAAUCCCGCGGCUCAACUGCGGGUCUGCAGUCGAUACGGGCAGGCUAGAGUUCGGUAGGGGAGACUGGAAUUUACGGUGUAGCAGUGAAAUGCGUAGAUAUCGUAAGGAAGACCAGUGGCGAAGGCGAGUCUCUGGACAGCAACUGACGCUGAGGCACGAAGGCCAGGGGAGCAAACGGG
rnacentral:rRNA from 1 species